rnacentral:rRNA from 1 species
UUAUUUAUAGCUUUUGGCUAUAGGCAAUUGUUAGUGGCAGACGGGUGAGUAAUGCGUAGGAAUCUACCUAGUAGUACGGAAUAGCCAUUAGAAAUGAUGGGUAAUACUGUAUAAUCCCCGCGGGGGAAAGAUUUAUCGCUAUUAGAUGAGCCUACGUUAGAUUAGCUAGUUGGUAAGGUAAUGGCUUACCAAGGCUAUGAUCUAUAGCUGGUCUGAGAGGACGAUCAGCCACACUGGAACUGAGAUACGGUCCAGACUCCUACGGGAGGCAGCAGUGGGGAAUAUUGGACAAUGGGCGAAAGCCUGAUCCAGCUAUGCCGCGUGAGUGAAGAAGGCCUUCGGGUUGUAAAACUCUUUCAAUAGGGAAGAUAAUGACGGUACCUAUAGAA